UCUGUAAAAUAUUUGAAGAGAUUUAUUCUGAGCCAAAUGUAAGUGAACAUGGCCUGUGACACAGCCCUCAGGAGACCCUGAGAACAUGUGCUCCAGGUGGUCGGGGAACAGCGUGGUUUUAUACAUUUUAGGGAGACAUGAGAGAUCAAUCAAAUACAUUUAAGAUAUACAUUGGUCCUGUCCAGAAAGGCAAAACAACUUGAUGUGGGGGCUUCUAGAUUAUAGGUAGAUAUAACAAUUUUCUGAUUGGCAAUUGGUUGAAAGAGUAAUUAUCGAUAGAAAGGAAUGCCUGGGUUGUAAGAGGUUGUGGAGACCAAAGUUUUAUCAUGCAGAUGAAGCCUCCAGGUAGAAGACUUCAGAGAGAAUAGAUUGUAAAUGCUUCUUAUCAGCCUUAAGGUCUGUGUUGAUGUUAAUGCUGGAGGGUAUGAUGAGGCAUGUUCGACUCCCACUUCCCAUCAUGGCCUGAACCAGUCUUUCAGGUUUAAUUUUCGAGUGUCCUGGCCCAGAAGGAAGUCCAUUUAGAUGGUUGAGGGGGCCUCAGAAUUUUGUUUAGUCCCCAUGGCUCCCUCUAAAGUUGAACUCAUAGUCCUUUCUUCUUGCAAGAGUUCCUGUAAGAAAAAAAAUAAAACAACACCAAAAACACUAAUCACAGGAAAACUCCAAAGCUUUAGGUGCAACAUGGUGGGGAAGUUAAAAGCACAGCUUGGAAGUCAGGCUUCUUGGGUUGCUGACCCUGGUCUACAACUAUGUAGCUUCUACAGCUUGGUGCUAUAGUCUGAAUGUCUGUGUCCCCUGAAAGUUUAUAUGUUGAAACCUAAUGAAUGUGAAAAUUGCAGAUACCAGGAUGAAAUCACUUUUCAUCCUAGCUCAUGCUUACAUGUCUGAAAUGAGAACUGUUUCCAAGGACUUUCUAAAAACGUUUUUAUGUCCUUCAUGUAUCUCUCGCUUUGCUAGAUCCCUAGAUGUUCUCCAGGACUGCUGUUAUUCAGAUAAGAUGUUUUCAGAACACUUGCCCAGUGAUGGCAUCUCUACCAAUGAACUGACAGCAACUCUGGCUUUGAAUCUCUGGAACCAAUUAACUUUGUUCCACAGGAGGAAUCUCAGAUAAGACUUUCUUAAAGCCAUGCCCAGCCAUGGAUUUGUGCCAUCAAAUACUUAUAAAUUGGGUGAAUUUCCUCUCCUCUUGAGGUUCUGAGGUAAACCUGGGGCUUAUGUGCCUGUCAGAAAGUGACAUUCUUUACUUACUACAGGUCAGAAAUCUUGUACGGAGACUGUGUACACAAAAUAUGGGGCCAGUUUUUCCAAGGACUUUAUUGGUUCCAUAAGUCAAGUUUGAUUCCUUAAAGAAAAGCACACCAUUCCAGUCAAAGUCUUAGUAAAACAACCAAUUUCUCCAAUCGUGUCCUGUUACAAAUUAGAACAGAUUCUUAUUGCACUUAUGCAAAUAACUGUAUCACCAUAAGUUAAGAAUACUUACAAAUAGUUUCUGAAUUCUGGAGAAAUCAGGUAGAGAGAAACAAAUAUGCUCCAAAUUUUGUCAUAGGAGUAUACUAAAUUGUUAAAAGCUGUCAAUAGCUCAAAAGAAAAGUUUUAAGACUGAAACACAAAACAAAGGAUCAGCAAACAUUUUAAGCAAAAAGUCAAAAAGAUUGGUUCAGUCUAUGCAGUUAAUUCCUGUUCUGCUUGAUACUCAUGAACAUUUUAGCUCUCCAUGAGUCCUGAAACUUUUCCCUCUAUUCUGAUGUCACAAUCUCCAAAGUUAUCAGAAACCUGCAUGUAAGAGCACCUGUUGGAGUUUUACAGCUGAUUAUAAAACCACCUUCUAAAGAGGACCAAAAUAGGCCAGGUGUGUGGCUCACAUCUGUAAUUUCAGCACUUUGAGAGGCCAAGGUGGGCUGAUCACCUGAGGUCAGGAGUUCAAGACCAGCCUGGCCAACAUGGUGAAACCCCAUCUCUACUGAAAAUACAAAAAAAUUAGCUGGGCAUGGUGGUGUAUGCCUGUAAUCCCAGCUACUCGGGAGGCUGAGGCAGGAGAACCGCUUGAACCUGGGAGGUGGCAGUUGCAGUGAGCCAAGAUCGUGCCGCUGCACUCCAGCCUGGGCAACAGAGUGAGUCCCCAUCUCAAAAAUAAUAAUAAAAAUAUAUUUAAAAAAGAGGACCAAAACAACAAUUGUGCAUGGAAGAAAAAAGUUUUAAGGCAGCCAUAGUCAAAAGACAAAACUGACAAGGAAAUUUUUUACCUCUGUGGCACACAAUAAUUUUAAUAUAACAAUUAUGAUUAUUACUGAUAAUGUACACUAAGUUAUAUUAGAAUUAUAGGAGUUUCACAUAAUUUUGGAACAUACACCAAUAACAUAUUUAUACAAAUACAGCCCAAAGAAAACCAAACACCAUUUCACAUUUGACAAUGCUUCCUAUAUAAUUUUUAUACCAAAUAAGCCAAAUUAUGUCAUUUUAGGACUUUAGGGAAACUAAGAUCUUAAAGGAUUAAUUAGGUUAGAAAAAUACAUAAUUUAUAAUUUGAUUUUGGAAAGCUUGUCAAAUACAAAAGGUUUAAAACACUUGACAUUACAAAAUAAAAUUACAGGUCAUCGUAAAGUCAUUUAUUUAAUCCAAGUGAUAAUUCAAGGAUUUCAAAAAAAGCAAAAACCUUCAUUCUUUGAGAGAGGUGACUUAACUUUCUAAACAAGAAGCCCUAAUAAAAACAGCCUGAAGCCAAUCACAUUUGAUUUUCAAAAUUUUGUAAACAAACUAUAAGAUUUAAUCUUGAUUAUAAAAUAUAACUUCCAUAAGCCUUUUAUAACCUUUAUGAAGGAGUUGGUUAAUGCUUCAAGAAAACCUUGCUAAUCAGACACAGGGGUCCAUAUACUGAUUUUGCAUCAGUGUGCCUUUGACUUGAAUGAUUAGUUCAUAGAGAAACUGAACUUACUGGAUCUUUCAAAAUCGGCCCUUACAAUCUUACGCGCCCACCUCUUCCGCAAUAGUCCCUGGGCCUUGAGGAGUUGAAUAGCUUUAAUUUCUUGCCUAGUGCCUCAGGAAUGCAGUUUAUUUUGAUUGGCAUCUUCUACGGGGCCUUAAGAUGAGGCUUUGAUUGUCAUCAGUGUUUGUGAUUUUUCAGACACAGGAGUUAAAGCCCUGUAACUCAAUGUUACAAGGACUUUAAAAGCAUACACAGGAAGAUACAUGGAUGUAAUAACCUUGAUUUUUUAAAAAUUAGCUCUUUCUUCCCUAAGCAAACCAAAACUUAAUAAUAAUAUGACAACUUGAUUAUAUAAAAGCUUUUGGGGUGUGUGUGUGUGUGUGUAUAUAUAUAUAUAAAAUCUUAUCAUGACUUACACCAAUGUUCAUGACAUGCUUGGACUUUCUGGUUUGUCCUGAACAUCCCUCCUUGUUAAACAACCAGUUAUUUUAUUUUAGGACUAAAUUUACCAUAUAAAAUUCUUUCUUAUAUAAAAUUAUUUCUUUUUCAGCUUUUUAACCUUGAAAAAAUUCUUUAUUUUUAUAACUUUAUUUACAUUUUUUUUCUUUUCUGGUUCCUUUUACCUUGUUUUAUAUAUAACCUUUUAAUAAGCUUUGAAUUAGACAAAACUUGUUCACCAUUUUUUUAAAAAAGGACACACUUUUUUUUAAGCAACAAUGUUUUCCUACAAGAUAUAUUUAUUGGAAAAUACCCAAAUAAUAAAUUAUCUAUUAUUUAAUUUAAUAUGACUUUAUAUUCUAAAUUAUGUCCAGUUGGUCUAUAAGUAUUUAUCCCAUUACAUUUACCUAGUUAUUUUAUUAAUUGUUUACCUAGAUUAUUUAUAAAAACUGUGAUAGUCAUGAUUUAAAGUUAUGAAACUUCCAUUGCAAAAUUACAACUGAGACAGUGAAAAACGAUUUGACCUAACUGACUCCACCUUGCUCUUAACUUCCAAGCUGUCCUUGUUCAUUCCUGGGCAUAGGCCGAAUGAACUUUGGGAGGAACCUAGUUUAAGUUCAGCUUCGAAACAAUGACAAUAACAGUCCUUUCCCAAAACAAACCUCCUUAUUGUCUGUGGACUAAACUGCCUAAAGCCACAGGAUUAGAAGUUAUGGUAAUCUUACUAAAUUCAAGAUGCAGCUGUUUUCAUUAAACCCAUAUCAAUGUCUUAUUUAUUAAAAAUUACACAAGCAAAGAUCAUUCUGUUUUGGGCUGGGUUUAUAGUUUUAUAACCCCUAUGCCAAAUUUUGACACCUUCUGGUAUUUGGCAGGGAUAAGUAUAAAACUGUUUGAUUAAUAUAAUGCAAACAAAAAUGUAUGCUGGCAAUUCUUAAGACAUUUCUAAUACUACUUUACCAAUAAUUUUAAAGCUACUUUAUUUAUUAAAGAUUUUACUUAAGUUACAUAAAUUUGAAAAAGCAUUUGACUAGCCUUUUCUUUUUUAGUAUCUGAUUUAAGCACUUUUAUUUUUCUUUAAGCCAAGUAGAGCUCUUUUACAUAUUUUUAGCACUAAAACAUCGUGUACACAACACAUACAUACAUAUAAAGACGUAUUAGGCAUGCCAAUAGAAGUACAUUUUAUAGAUUUAUAAUGCCCCCCCACUUUUUUUUCCUAUCUUAGACUUUCAGAUUCUUGAUAACCUGUUUUACAACCCUAGGCAGUUGUCAGCUAAAUAGCCUUAAAUUUUUGCACAUUAAAGGAAACAACCCAGGUGAAAAUCAAAUAGCAAAAUUUACAUGAUAAGGUACAGAGAGGAAAAGUCUGGUGGUGUUAGAGGGAGAUGCUUUUAUUUUUCUUUGAGCGAUAUUAAACAUAAAACGAAACUACAUUCUUCCUUAACCCAAGAGUAGCCUCUGUUGCAAUAGCUAUUUUAGUCAAAAAAUCCGGUGAAAACAGAAUUCAGUCAACUGAGAAGUAAAAGGAAAAAAAAAAAAAAAACUUUUGCUACAAAAAAAAGACAAGGUCUUAGGAGAGAAAAACAAACAAGAAACAAAAACAUGAAGGCCUUUCAAAUACAAACAUGCACAAAACACACAUCAUGGAUGUUACUGUUUCAGUUAAGCAGACUUUCAACCACUGAGCUUCUUUAAAAACUUAAAAAAAAAAUCUUAUUACCAAAUCUCAGCUAGGACAAAGUGUUGCUAUUUCAGAAGUACAGCCAUUGCUCUUUGAGUUUGGUCUGGCUAGCAAAAAGCUGGCUGUGUUAUGUAAAUAAAGCCCCUAUAGUAAUUAAAAUUUAAAAAAAGUUUUUUAAGCUGGCUGUUUUCCUACCACUUCAGAGUCCUUGACCCCGUAAUUUAGGGUUCCCCUUCAGAUUUGACUAAGACAGAAACAAACAACAAAACAGUUAAGCAAAACUAACAAUGGUCACACAAAUUAUACAAUUUCUGAGUGCUCUAAGUGCAUUGGAAGAAAGCUGAAACUCCAUAAAAACAUCACCUGCCUUCCAUCAUCAUGAAAGCAGGAAAACUUGCCUUCCUUGUUGGGAGCAAGUAAAACUCCAAAAAAAGAGGUGUUGUACAGCAAAAUAAACUUCCGAUCUCUACCAAAUUUUAAGAGAUCAGGGAUUUUCUGGAGGGAGUCCUCUCAGACCUCAGCAAAUUGUCCUAUUGGUUUGAGCCAUAAAGUUAGCUCAUGCUGGUACCAAGCACCGAUAGAUUUGUCAAGGGUCAGGGGCAUCUCCACCCAGAAUCCAUUCAUGGUUUCCAAAAUGUGAACCCAGAAAAUCCGAGACAGGUCUCAGUUAAUUUAGAAAGUUUAUUUUGCCAAGGUUGAGGACACACUGUGACACAGACUCAGGAAGUCCUGAUGACAUGUGGCCAAGAUGGUUGGGGCAUACCUUGGUUUUAUACAUUUUAGGGAGACAUAAGACAUUAAUCAAUAUAUGUAAGAAGAACAUUGGUUCAGUGGGGAGGGAGCUUCCAGGUCACAGAUAGGUGAGACACAAACAGUUGCAUUCUUUUGAGUUUCUGAUUAGCCUUUCCAAAGGAGGCAAUCAGAUAUGUAUCUAUCUCAGUGAGCAGAGAGAUAACUUUGAAUAGAGUGGGAGGUGGGUUUGCCCUAAGAAGUUUCCCUAAGCUUGAGUUUUCCUUAGUGAUUCUGGGGCCCCAAGAUAUUUUCCUGUCACAGUUGACAUCCCCAACACAGUGUUUAGGGCUCAGAAAAAGAUACCCUAAAAUAGGGUGCUUUGGCAUGCUGAGUGCUUUGAAUAAAGGAGACUGAAGGGCCUCAGAAAUAAGAGAACAAAGGUCUAUCUCUGACCCACUGCUGCCCACCUCCCUUCCCUUCCAAAGCACAGGGAGGGAUUUUCUUUGAAGUUCUCUUAUUUGAUUAAGGGAAGUUUCUCCAGAAGGAAGGUAAUUGUCCUGGACACCCCUUCCUGGAAUCUACAUGACUGUAUUCUUCUUCUUUUUUUUUUUUUUUUUUUUUUUUGAGAUGGGGUCUCAUUCUGACACCCAGACUGGAGUGCAGUGGCAUGAUCUUGGCUCACUGCAACCUUUACAGCC
rnacentral:lncRNA from 10 species